rnacentral:rRNA from 1 species
GACGAACGCUGGCGGCGUGCUUAACACAUGCAAGUCGAACGGAAAGGCCCUGCUUUUGUGGGGUGCUCGAGUGGCGAACGGGUGAGUAACACGUGAGUAACCUGCCCUUGACUUUGGGAUAACUUCAGGAAACUGGGGCUAAUACCGGAUAGGAGCUCCUGCUGCAUGGUGGGGGUUGGAAAGUUUCGGCGGUUGGGGAUGGACUCGCGGCUUAUCAGCUUGUUGGUGGGGUAGUGGCUUACCAAGGCUUUGACGGGUAGCCGGCCUGAGAGGGUGACCGGCGAGAUUGGGACUGAGAGACGGCCCAGACUCCUACGGGAGGCAGCAGUGGGGAAUAUUGCACAAUGGGCGGAGGCCUGAUGCAGCAACGCCGCGUGCGGGAUGACGGCCUUCGGGUUGUAAACCGCUUUCGCCUGUGACGAAGCGUGAGUGACGGUAAUGGGUAAAGAAGCACCGGCUAACUACGUG